rnacentral:rRNA from 1 species
GGUUAAGUGACUAAGCGUACACGGUGGAUGCCUUGGCAGUCAGAGGCGAUGAAAGACGUAGUAACUUGCGAUAAGCCCAGAUUAGGUAGUAACAACCAUUUGAGUCUGGGAUUUCUGAAUGGGGAAACCCACGUGCAUAAGCACGUAUCCUUACCUGAUACAUAGGGUAAGGAGGCGAACCGGGGGAACUGAAACAUCUAAGUACCCCGAGGAAAAGAAAUCAACCGAGAUUCCGAAAGUAGCGGCGAGCGAAAUUGGACUAGCCCUUAAGCUUUACACGCGUUAGACGAACGGUCUGGAAAGUCCGACGAUACAGGGUGAUAGUCCCGUAGUUGACGACGUGUGUUCAGUGAAAUCGAGUAGGGCGGGACACGUGAUAUCCUGUCUGAAUAUGGGGGGACCAUCCUCCAAGGCUAAAUACUACUGACUGACCGAUAGUGAACCAGUACCGUGAGGGAAAGGCGAAAAGAACCCCUGUGAGGGGAGUGAAAUAGAACCUGAAACCGUGUACGUACAAGCAGUAGGAGCAGGCUUUGUCCUGUGACUGCGUACCUUUUGUAUAAUGGGUCAGCGACUUAUAUUCAGUGGCAAGGUUAACCAUCUAGGGGAGCCGUAGGGAAACCGAGUCUUAACUGGGCGUUCAGUCUCUGGAUAUAGACCCGAAACCAGGUGAUCUAGCCAUGGGCAGGUUGAAGGUUGAGUAACAUCAACUGGAGGACCGAACCGACUAAUGUUGAAAAAUUAGCGGAUGACUUGUGGCUAGGGGUGAAAGGCCAAUCAAACCUGGAGAUAGCUGGUUCUCCCCGAAAGCUAUUUAGGUAGCGCCUCGGACGAAUACUACUGGGGGUAGAGCACUGUUAAGGCUAGGGGGUCAUCCCGACUUACCAACCCUUUGCAAACUCCGAAUACCAGUAAGUACUAUCCGGGAGACACACGGCGGGUGCUAACGUCCGUCGUGGAGAGGGAACAACCCAGACCGCCAGCUAUGUCCAAAUUACUACUAAGUGGGAACGAUGUGGGAAGCUCAGACAGCCAGGAUGUUGGCUUAGAGCAGCAUCAUUUAAAGAAGCGUAUAGCUCACUGGUCGAGUCGGCCUGCGCGGAAGAUGUAACGGGGCUAAGUAGUAAACCGAAGCUGCGGCAAUGUGCUUUUGCACAUUGGGUAGGGGAGCGUUCUGUAAGCGGUUGAAGGUGUGUGGUAACGCAUGCUGGACGUAUCAGAAGUGCGAAUGCUGACAUGAGUAACGAUAAAGGGGGUGAAAAACCUCCUCGCCGGAAGACCAAGGGUUCCUGUCCAACGUUAAUCGGGGCAGGGUAAGUCGACCCCUAAGGCGAGGCCGAAAGGCGUAGUCGAUGGGAAACGGGUUAAUAUUCCCGUACUUCUUACAAUUGCGAUGGGGGGACGGAGAAGGCUAGGUGGGCCUGGCGACGGUUGUCCAGGUUCAAGUGCGUAGGCUUGAGAGUUAGGUAAAUCCGGCUCUUUUUAAGGCUGAGACACGACGUCGAGCACCUACGGGUGUGAAGUCAUUGAUGCCAUGCUUCCAGGAAAAGCCUCUAAGCUUCAGAUUGUAAGGAAUCGUACCCCAAACCGACACAGGUGGUCGGGUAGAGAAUACCAAGGCGCUUGAGAGAACUCGGGUGAAGGAACUAGGCAAAAUGGUACCGUAACUUCGGGAGAAGGUACGCUCUCGACGGUGAAGUCCCUCGCGGAUGGAGCUAUUGAGAGUCGCAGAUACCAGGUGGCUGCAACUGUUUAUUAAAAACACAGCACUGUGCAAAAUCGUAAGAUGACGUAUACGGUGUGACGCCUGCCCGGUGCCGGAAGGUUAAUUGAUGGGGUUAGACUUCGGUCGAAGCUCUUGAUCGAAGCCCCGGUAAACGGCGGCCGUAACUAUAACGGUCCUAAGGUAGCGAAAUUCCUUGUCGGGUAAGUUCCGACCUGCACGAAUGGCGUAAUGAUGGCCACGCUGUCUCCACCCGAGACUCAGUGAAAUUGAAAUCGCUGUGAAGAUGCAGUGUACCCGCGGCUAGACGGAAAGACCCCGUGAACCUUUACUACAGCUUGGCACUGAACAUUGACCCUACAUGUGUAGGAUAGGUGGGAGGCUUUGAAGCACGUACGCCAGUAUGUGUGGAGCCGUCCUUGAAAUACCACCCUUGUAGUGUUGAUGUUCUAACGUCGACCCCUUAUCGGGGUUGCGGACAGUGCCUGGUGGGUAGUUUGACUGGGGCGGUCUCCUCCCAAAGAGUAACGGAGGAGCACGAAGGUGGGCUAAUCACGGUUGGACAUCGUGAGGUUAGUGCAAUGGCAUAAGCCCGCUUGACUGCGAGAAUGACAAUUCGAGCAGGUGCGAAAGCAGGUCAUAGUGAUCCGGUGGUUCUGAAUGGAAGGGCCAUCGCUCAACGGAUAAAAGGUACUCCGGGGAUAACAGGCUGAUACCGCCCAAGAGUUCAUAUCGACGGCGGUGUUUGGCACCUCGAUGUCGGCUCAUCACAUCCUGGGGCUGAAGUCGGUCCCAAGGGUAUGGCUGUUCGCCAUUUAAAGUGGUACGCGAGCUGGGUUUAGAACGUCGUGAGACAGUUCGGUCCCUAUCUGCCGUGGGCGUUGGAAGAUUGAAGGGGGCUGCUCCUAGUACGAGAGGACCGGAGUGGACGAACCUCUGGUGUUCGGGUUGUGUCGCCAGACGCAUUGCCCGGUAGCUAAGUUCGGAAUCGAUAACCGCUGAAAGCAUCUAAGCGGGAAGCGAGCCCUGAGAUGAGUCUUCCCUGAUACUUUAAGUAUCCUAAAGGGUUGUCGGAGACUACGACGUUGAUAGGUCAGGUGUGUAAGUGCUGUGAGGCAUUGAGCUAACUGAUACUAAUUGCCCGUGAGGCUUAACCAU